ACGAUCUCUCGUGCUGGUGGUCCGGCCCGCAUCCCGCGGGGCGGAGCAAGAGGGAACCCGGUGCGAGUCCGGGACUGCCCCGCAGCGGUGAGCGGGAACGACCGCCGUCACGACGCACUGGGCACAGCCGCCUGGGAAGCGACGGUCACUAGGCCGGCAGGAGAACCUGCCACGCCCGCGAGUCCGAAGACCUGCCACCCGUGCGCGCACCAC
rnacentral:ncRNA from 2 species